AACGAACGCUGGCGGCAUGCCUAAUACAUGCAAGUCGAACGAGAUCUUCGGAUGUAGGGGCGCACGGGUGCGGAACGCGUGGGAAGCGGCCCUUGGGUUCGAAAUAACUUCUGGAAACGGAAGCCAAUACCGGAUGAUGACGUAAGCCCAAAGAUUUAUCGCCCAAGGAUGAGCCCGCGUAGGAUUAGCUAGUUGGUGGGGUAAAGGCCCACCAAGGCGACGAUCCUUAGCUGGUCUGAGAGGAUGCUCAGCCACCCCGGGACUCAGACACGGCCCCGACUCCUCCGGGAGGCAGCAGUAGCGAAUAUUGGACAGUGGGCGGAGGCCUGAUCAACCUCGGCCCCGUGAGUGCUGAAAGCCUUAGGGUUCUAAUGCUCUUUUACCCGGGAUGAUAAUGACAGUACCGGGACAGUAAGCUCCGGCUAACUCCGUG
rnacentral:rRNA from 1 species